rnacentral:rRNA from 1 species
GAUGAACGCUGGCGGCGUGCCUAAUACAUGCAAGUCGAGCGAACGGACGAGAAGCUUGCUUCUCUGACGUUAGCGGCGGACGGGUGAGUAACACGUGGAUAACCUACCUAUAAGACUGGGAUAACUUCGGGAAACCGUAGCUAAUACCGGAUAAUAUAUUGAACCGCAUGGUUCAAAAGUGAAAGACGGUCUUGCUGUCACUUAUAGAUGGAUCCGCGCUGCAUUAGCUAGUUGGUAAGGUAACGGCUUACCAAGGCAACGAUGCAUAGCCGACCUGAGAGGGUGAUCGGCCACACUGGAACUGAGACACGGUCCAGACUCCUACGGGAGGCAGCAGUAGGGAAUCUUCCGCAAUGGGCGAAAGCCUGACGGAGCAACGCCGCGUGAGUGAUGAAGGUCUUCGGAUCGUAAAACUCUGUUAUUAGGGAAGAACAUAUGUGUAAGUAACUGUGCACAUCUUGACGGUACCUAAUCAGAAAGCCACGGCUAACUACGUG